UUACUUCACACCCCACAACUCUAUCUUCAUCUUCCACGAUGAUAUCAUCACAACAACAACAAGAGUACUUCAGUGGGUUUUCACAGCAGUUCGGUGGUUCAUCUGCAAGUUCGGAUCCACCUCCUAAGAACAGGAGAGAAUAUCAUGAUUAUUACUAUUCAAGAGAAUAGUUAAUCGACUGCAUGCAGGUUUGCUUUACUUGGGAGACAAAACUGUUCUUGUUGGUUUUUUUUUUCUCUUUUGCUUGCAUUUAUUUUCCUUAAUGCUUGUUCCAAAACCCCUUAUCAACCUUUGGUUUUUCAAGUUUUCAGCAAUUCCAGAAUCGUUUGUUUGAUGAAAUCUUCAGGUGUUUUCAGUUAUAGUAGUGUUCAUGUUCUCGUUUAAAAAAAGAAAGGGAAAUAUAACAUUAGGUUAGAACUUAGAACAUAGAAAAAAAAUGAAGUGAAAUCAAGGUGAGAAGUAAAAUCAUUAGCACUAGAUCGAUGUGAGAGUACAUCCUUAAAAUUAUUCGAGAAUAAAAUUAAAUCCGGACUAAAAUUUAGAAAUACCGUGAUUAUAUUAUUAAAAAUAAUAUAGUAGGAUUCCUUAAACCUGGACGAAAGCUUAGAGAUUAUCUGAUUAUAUACUAAAAAUAAAGAUGGAAGUACAUUAACUUCAGUUUCUUCACAUGCAAGAAAUCUGUAGAAUAAAUUCGGGUGGCCUAACUUUUUUAGUCGGAUCAUAAAAAAUUAAGGCACUCCUAGAAGAAUUGGUGGAAGCUACUGAGCUGCUCCAUACGUAAGCAAAGUGUUUAAAGUUUAAUUACUAUAUAUAUAUUGUUUACAAAUGAAAAAAAAAAUUAAAGAUUAGUAUCAAAAUAAUUUUGGAAAAAAAUUAUUUUCGUACAAAAGAGUUUAUAAUCUAAAAAUAGAGAAAUGAAAGAUUAAAGGUAUUGAGAUUUGAAAUUUAAAAUUACUUGGAUAUUUUUUUAAAAAUAAUUACGUGAAUCAAUUAAGUUAAACUUCGGAUUUAAUAUUGAAGAAUUAGAUUAAGUAUUAAUUAACAAUAUUAUUUUUUGGAACACAAGAGUUAAAUGAAGUCCUUAAGCAAGUCAAGAGAUGAAAUAUACAAAAUGAUAGAAAAUCAUCUUAUAUAUUAUGUAGACUAUAUAUUAUUAUAAAGAUGGAGAAAAAAAACCAAGCAUGCAAAACUGAGAAUAAGAGGGUUAUCUAUAUGUUAUGAAACAUCCAUCUAUAUUAAAUUAUGAAUAUUGGACCAAAUAAAUACGGAUCGAUAAAGAUGAAAGAAGAUAAACAAAUAAGAAAUAAAAUAAAAAAUACUACAUGAGAAGGAUAAAAAUAUAUAUUGUAGGAAAACCAUACUUUAAUGAUAUGAAGAUGAUUCUGGCCCAAAAAAAAAUGGCAUGAAGAUGAGCUGAGAAAUCUUGAGAACAAAGAUAUUUAAGGUCGAAAAUUGGGAUAUUUUUGGCUUGUAUAUAUCAUAUAUGUAAA
rnacentral:lncRNA from 1 species